AGGUUUUAGUGCUGUGAAUGUGAGGUCUGCUCUUCUCUUGCCCGAUGAAGAGUGUGGAGUACCACAGCGAGAAGAGCUUAGCAUCCCUGGACGAUGGCGGGAUGAUAGAAAAGCCCUCCAGACCCCAGGAGAGAGAAGCUCAGCGUGGAGAAUUCGAACACAAAGCCAGAGGCAGCCUUCACCCAGGUCAUCUGUUCCGGAGAGAGCAGAGACAGGUAACGGUACGAAGCUACCCGGAGCUUCUGCAUGGAGAGAAGGUCAGAAGUUAGCUAGAAAGUUGCUUGGUCCACCCCCUAAAUUUGCAAAGCCGAAGAGCACAGCUGAAGAGCACAUCACUGCAAAUACCUUGGAGCCUGGUAGAGGAUUUGCAGCAAUGCCGGCGAGGGAACACAGCUCUAGAGAAAGGGGAAACGAACCCGUGGGGAAAAGCCCUGAAUUCAAAAGCUGCGUGGUACCCCGCAGCGAGCCUGCUGAAAGGGGCAGAAAUACACCAGACGAGGACACAAAACAGAUACUCAGGAACCUACAUUUGCAAAGCAAACAUCAUGAUGAACACCGAAAUACCAGGCUCCCAGAAGAUACUGCAAAAGGAAAGGCAGAAGAUCUGCAACAAUACCUAGGGAUCAGUUCUCCUUCCCCUGGGGCUGAGGGCAUGACUCCCUCUGCCUUCAGUGGGGAAAAGACAAGAUCUUCAUUAAUAAGAGCUGAAACCGAGUACAGAAACCGCAGCAGAGGAAAAAGCACUUCUCCUCAAAGACGGAAAGGCUCAAGAAGCCCGGCACAGAAAGGGUCUGAAAAGGAAAACCUUAACCACCCUUCAAAGAGGAGGGCAAACAUGAAAAAGCCUCACCCCUACAGCCCUGAAAUUAUUCAAGAGUUUAUAUAUCGAAAGAAUGCAGAAAGAAAGAAAAAAAGCCUGGAAGAGAAGAAGUCUUUGGUGCAGGCCAUGGAGAUGAGAAAUAAGAGGUUACAAGAAGUAUACAGGAAACAGAAAGAAGCUUUUGGAAAGAAAACAUGUUCUGAGCAGACGCAUAAGUUCAUCAAGGAAACAGCUUCUGCAGAAGAAAGCCCUCAGCAUAAACCU